rfam:Gasterosteus aculeatus cont1.005851, whole genome shotgun sequence.
UAUGCACUUAUUUGUAAGUCGCUUUGGAUAAAAGCGUCAGCUAAAUGACAUGUA